GUGGGGAAUAUUGCACAAUGGGCGCAAGCCUGAUGCAGCAACGCCGCGUGAGGGACGACGGCCUUCGGGUUGUAAACCUCUUUUGGCAGGGAAGAAGCGAAAGUGACGGUACCUUCAGAAAAAGCACCGGCUAACUACGUGCCAGCAGCCGCGGUGAUACGUAGGGUGCAAGCGUUGUCCGGAAUUAUUGGGCGUAAAGAGCUCGUAGGCGGUUUGUCGCGUCUGCUGUGAAAACCCGAGGCUCAACCUCGGGCCUGCAGUGGGUACGGGCAAACUAGAGUGCGGUAGGGGAGAUUGGAAUUCCUGGUGUAGCGGUGGAAUGCGCAGAUAUCAGGAGGAACACCGAUGGCGAAGGCAGAUCUCUGGGCCGUAACUGACGCUGAGGAGCGAAAGCAUGGGGAGCGAACA
rnacentral:rRNA from 1 species